UCGGUCUUCUCCCUCCUUUGGAGCUCUUCCAUGGCGGGAUUCUAGGGUUUUCACUCACUUGAUUUCGGUACUCUUUUGCAUUUAAAUGCCACAGUGUUAGUAUUACCUUCUCUUUUUCAUUUUUUGUUCCUGUUCUUAUUUACUUCUCUGCUAUACUGGUGUGUGUUGUUUGUAAAUAGCCGUGCAUUAUAUGUUUAUUUUGCGGAGAGGAGUACCUAUUUCCGUAUGGAGAUGAUUGCUUCGCAUAUGAAACUUGCGGACUGGAAGCAGAGUAGUCUCUGCCAAGCGCAUGAACAGUUGCAUUCGGAGGCUUCUAAGUUUUUGUUGUUUAGCCUUCAAUGGAAGGACUUGGAAACGCACUUCGAUUCGACUCGAGAAAUGAUUCAGACGCAGUACGAGGAGCUUGAGAGGCGGGAGAAGGCGAUUGCGUCGAAGGAAGAGGAGUUGGAUGAUGUGAAGAAGUCUAUUAAUGAAUGCUCGAAAGAGCUUGAGUUGAAGAAGAACGAACUGAUCGAGUUGAAUCGUUUGAUUGAGAAAUGUGAUGGUGAGCUUAGAUUGAAAGAGGUGGAUUUGGAUGCAGCCCAGGAGAGACUAGGGAUAUUGUUGAAGGAUAUUAACUUGAAAGAAGACGAGGUUAAUAAGGUAUGCAUCACAGUCUUGGACGACGAGGAGUGUGAGGAGAAGGAGAAACCAUUUGAUAUGGUUCAAAAGAGGAUUGACGAUUGUGAGCUGGUUAUGGAAUUAAAUGAACAGAAAUUAAAUGAGAUAAUACAGUUAAUUGAGGAGCGGUCAAUGAAAUGUGAGUUGAAGGGGACGAGUGUAGAAUCAAUAAGAGCAUUGCUUCAAGAACAUGAAGAAGAGCUUGCAACUAAGAUGGCAAUUAAAGAUACCAACGGAAAACUCAAAUUGAAAGAAAAGGAUCUUGAAACAAUUCAUAAUAUGAUUACCACUAAGUGGAAAAUGGAGAGAUUAGACGAGAUAGAAAGGUCUAUAAAAUUGCGGACCCAAGAACUUGAUCUUAAAGAGAAGGAGUUUGGUUUACUGCAGAACAAGUUGAAGGUUCUUUCUGAAGAUUUGUUAUCAAAGGAAUCAGAGUUAGAAUCCAUCAAAAGGUGUAUCAAGGAACAUAGUAAAGAACUUGAUGUACAGGAAAAGCAACUUGAUGGCAUUCAACAAUCUAUUCGGGAUUGUCAGAAUGCGCUUAUAUUGCUUACUAAAUAUGUUUAUUCAAUAGAGAAGGCAAUUGUCGAAUGCUCAAAGGAAUUGGAGUUCAAGGACAAUAACCUUGAUUCAUUGCAAGCGUCUGUGGAUGACUACUCUACCGAGUUGCCAUCAAUGAUGAAACAACAGAACUCCAUUUCUUUGAUAGUCGAUAAAUGUCUUGAAGGUCUGAAAACUCGAAAAGAGCAUUACAAUUUGUUGAGAAAAUCAAUAGAACAACGCUCAAAGAAUCUCAAGAACAAAGAAAAUGAUUUUCGACGACGGACAGAAGAACUCAACAAGAAGGAUGAGAAAGUAAGCAUUUCUCUGAAAGAGAUUGAAUCCUUAAAAACAGAUAUGGAUUCACAGAUGAUAUUGGUGGAAAAAGGCCGUGAAGAACUAAGAUUAAAAGAAAUACAAUGCAAUUUGUGGGCUGAGAAACUCGAGUCAAAAGAAAAAGAGAUCAAUCUAGCCAGGGCUUCGAAAGAUAAUCGUAAUGAAAAGGUAAAAUUGUUGGGUGAUCCAAACAUUCUUCCUCUGAAAGUAAAAACUGAGGAAUUAGGGUGCAGAACUGCUGAAAGUUCUAUGACUUUGAAUUUUCAUUCAGGAUCAGCCGUAGAUGGAAAGCUUUUGUUAGUUCUUUUAUGUGAGCAUCUGAAACUGCAUGAUUUGGUACGCACAGAAGUGUUUAUGACUCUUCAAGCAUCUUCCGAUCGUGCAAAGUUAGUUCUAGAUGCUAUGAAAUGGUUCUACCCUCCACAUGUGGUGUCCGAAGAUGCAAAAGUCGAUUUGCAUAAUGUCAAGAGGGGAUGCAUUUUGCUAUGUGAAUUAUUAUUGAAGUUCUCACCACAAAUUACGCCUUCACUGAAGGAAGAAGCUCUAAAGCUGGCAGUCCAGUGGAAGGCCAGGAUGUCAAUGUCAAGUGAGAAUCAUGUGGAAGUGGUGGCAUUCUUGCUACUUAUAGCUAAUUUUCAGCUGGCCUCAGAUUUUAAUUCAGAGGAAUUACAUAUUCUUCUGAAUUCAGUUUCACAAUAUAAACAAGGAUUUGAGCUAGCCCGAGCGCUUGGUAUUGGAGACAAAUCUUCUGAGGGCAGUGCAGCUCCUAGGCUGGUUAAACUGGAGCAACCUGAAUCAUUGCCAGACAAUGAAAUGCCGGUCUUUUCCUUAAAAAAUAAGCAGCAUAGCAUGGAUUCAAAUGAGAAGAGAUUAUAUUUAAUUUUGAAUAAGCAUUUGACUGAACAGAAAUUGAUGCCAAGUGCAAUCUUAUCGAUUCUUAAAGAGUCGUCAAACGCUCCAAAACUUGUCUUGGAUGUGAUUCAAGUUUCUUUUCACCAACAGUUGAAGUUACAGAUGGGUUUUGAAGAAAGUUUCUUGAGGUGGUCCACACUUCUUUUAAAGCAAUUAAAGCAAAUCUCACCAAGUAUUGAUCCAAAGGUGAGAGAAGGUGCAUUGAAGCUUGCAGUUGACUGGAAAUUGAACAUGAAAAGUGAUGCAAAUGAUUAUUUGGACGUUGUUGGCUUCUUGCAACUUAUAGCGUCAUAUGGAUUGACGACUUCAUUCAGCGAGGAAGAGAUCUUAAAGCUCUUUGAGAAAAUAGUGCUGCAUGAACAGGCAACGGAGUUGUGCCUGAUGUUCGGGUAUAAUCAAAAGAUACAAGAAAUUGCACAAAAUCUGAUUGGAACAAAGCAAUUUGUUAAGGCCGUCAGGUUUAUAUGUGGAUACAAGUUGGAAUGCUUUCGACCCGUACAGAUUCUGAAUGAAUAUCUGCGAGAUGUAAGGAAUGCCACUGUAAAAGUCAGCAAGAAACAUGAUACUGGACAGGACGAUGUACGUGCUGCCAUGGAUGAAGCCAUAGACAAGGAGAUAGAUGCUGUGAAGUCGGUAAUUACAUGCGCUGCAGAUUGUAACCUUAGUUCUGAAAUCUCAUCUCAAGGGCUUCAAAACCUCAUUGUUUCUCUUAAAGAUAUGAAAAGGAAGAAACGCAACAUCCAUGGUCAACUGCCAAAUUUGACCACGGGUAAUAUGCAACAGUCACAUUCCAUCAUUGUCCAAUCACAACAACGUCCACAUCCGACCAAAGGCAGAAUGCAAGCACAACAACCGAACCCAACCCAUCAAUCGCUGCAGCAACAUCAUCCUAACCAUCAACAGCAUAUGCCGAAGAAACGUAAGACGAAUCAGGGUCAAAGUGGUUCAACGAAAUACCCUCAGAAACCUCCACCAACUAGACCUGCGCUUUCGAAUUUAUCUCCUAGAGUAAAUAACCAAUAAUCAAAGUUCCACUAGUACAAUUCAAGAUUUUUCUGGAAUGCAUUGGCUGUUUGGUGUCCAUGAGGAUGGGUCAUGAAUCAACCGAACGUGGAAAUCGUUAUAGGCGCCCAACAAGACGUAGACUAUAAUCCUAAGCCUAGAUCGAAUGUGUAAGUUGUUGUGCGAUCCUAACUAUUGGUAUCGGAGCUAGGCGAAAUUUACCACGAUUUGUGAAGAUGGAAAAUUCAAAGAUUGAAAUUGAGAAAUAUGAUGGAUUCGAUUUAAUUUCUAGAAGAUGCAAAUUGAAGAUUUUGUAUUAGAAAGAUCUUCACGAACCCCUAUUGGGAGUGAAGUCGGAUAUCAUGACCACAGAGCAGCAGAAACUCAAGGAUCGACAUGCCUUAGGGUUGAUUCGGUUGACGUUAAAAAGUGUGGCGUUUAACAUUAUUAAAGACAAGAAGAAGAUAACGUCAGAUUUAUUGAAGGUGCUAUUGAAUAUGUAAAAAAAUUGUCGACUAUAAACCAGAUGUAUUUGAUGCGAGGAUUGUUCAAUCUACAGAUGUCUGAAGUUCGAUCUA